GCUAGACAUGCUCCUGAUACUCCUCUGGCAAAGCUUCGUAUGGCCGAAGUGGACUCUGAUGGUGAGCCGGUGUUGUAUGGAGAAGAUGAUUUCCCUAUGCCUAGAGGGGACUGUCGCGUUGGAGGCCCGUCAGCUGUAUCUUCUGAAGAAGAAUCCGAGCCGGAUGGGGAGGACAUGGGAGCCCUUGAGUCUGAAGGAGGCGAC
rnacentral:lncRNA from 1 species